CCCAUUCUCCCUAUCUUUUCAACAGAUUUUUCAAAUUUAACUAAACCCAUCCAUAGCAUAAAAUGGAACAAAGACAAGGCUUUAUAAAUAAGCGAACUUUAAUCUAAUGGAGAUUACUCUAAUAUCAAAAGUUGUAGGUUUACCAAAUUAUCUACAUACUCUUUAGUGAAGAUUCCUCGAGGCCCAGUAGGUGUAACAUUGCUUGGAUCUAGUCCAUGUGUCUCCAGAAUGUUGCGAGCUGCAGGACUUAA